GAUGGUGGCUGUCCCGUGGCCUUGCCUUGGCCACUGAACCCAGUGCACGCUGCCCCCCACCACAGCCUCCCAUAACGCGCUGGGAAAGGCUCGCAGCCCUGCCAAGAGGAGGGGACAGAGGGUCUCCUUCCCAAGGCUGUGCUGCUACCUCCCAACCUCUGCUGCUCCGCAGGCCUCUGGGGAAGCUCUCGCCGUGGCUGCAGAGUUUCUGCGAUGCAAGGAGCUCAAGCGCUUGGCCCAGACAGAACAGACGUGGAGGAUCGGAGAGUUCUUGCUGCAGCAGGACAGAGGCAGAGUAGAAGAAUACCUGCAGCAGAGCCAGCCCUACCUGCAGGCACUCAGACCCUUUGCGACUUGAGGCCGUCAGAUUCAUUGGUGAGCCCAGCCCCUGGGUCCCUCUUGGGGCAGCCUUUGGCAGCCCCAGGCACUGCCCUGUUGCCCCCAGAGCCCCCCGACUGGGCCCUUGCUCCAGGGUGCAGGAGGGGGCACAGCCUGGCUGGCCAGGCCAGGGGCUGCGCUGCUGGGAGCGUGCUGGGGAGCGGGGCUCUGAUGGGGUCUCUGUGUCUAGGUCUUGCUGCGCGCUACUGCGAGGACCAGAGC